rnacentral:misc_RNA from 1 species
AGUAGAGAAUUCCCAACUGCAAAUAUCAACAUUUAUGGUCUUGUGACCCUAAAGGCAUUUUACUUGCCAUGGGCCAUGCUAGGUUUAGAUGUUAUUUUUGGUUCACCAAUUAUGCCAGAUCUCACGGGGAUCAUUGCUGGACAUCUCUAUUACUUCUUAACCGUUUUGCAUCCACUUGCUACUGGGAAGAACUUUCUGAAGACACCAAUUUGGGUACAUAAGUUGGUUAUGCGUUGGAGGAUUGGUGCACCAACUGGUACUCCUGCACAACCUGAUAAUCCUGGUGCAGCUUUCAGAGGGAGAUCUUAUCGGGUUGGUGGAGCAACAGGGUAUCCUGCACAACCUGAUAGGGGUUCUGGUGUAGCCACAACUAAUCCUGUGCAACCUCAUAACGGUCCUGGUGUAGCAUUUAGAGGGAGAUCAUAUCGCCUUGGUGGGUGAAUGGCUACAUUUUCUUCUGCCAACCAGUAGCUUCAAGUUGACAAUGCAUUUAUAUUCACGGUAUCUUGAUGAUGCAAGUCAAGGGAGUCUUUUAGUUUUAUUUCUAAAUAUAAUGUUGAAGGUGUAAUUCUGCGAAGGGUAUUGUGUUGAAACAUAGGUGAAUCCAAAACCAUCAGUAAUCAUCCCUUUCGGAAGUAAAAACUGAUUCUGUAGAUUCAUUUCCUUCUAAAUUUUCCCAGUAGAAUAUUUUACAGAAGGUAAACUGAAAACAGAUUAUGUUCCGUGGGGGAAGAAGUGAUAGGUGAAAAUUUUCUUUUAGAUGUUUGCUAAUUUGCAUUGGAAAACUGACAGUGGAUGCAAGUCUGGUACUUCAGCUUCAAUUGGGAGUCAUAUAUUCCUUGCUUCUACCACCCAAAAUGGCUGAUGGUUUUGCUAUGGUACGAAUGUUAGUAGUUAUUUUGAAUUAAGUUGUACUCUUCUUGACUGCUA